CGUACUACUACAUAAACUAACAGCGAGCGAGCACAGCUAGCUAAGUAGCUAGCACGCGGUGCUCACAGACGACUAUAGGAGGCGGCAGCUCUCGGCCGGCCUUGGGCAGUUGGGCUGGUCGCGGCGCGUGCACAGCUAGCAGGUGGGCGGAUCGAUCAUUGAUGGCUAUGGAAGCGGAGACGACGGUGCUACGACGGCCGCUGUCGGCGUUCUUGGCAGCGGGCGGCGGCGGCAUCGGGGAGGAGGUGUCGUCGGGCAGGCAGCAGGUCCCUCCGGUGUUCCUUGCCACGGAGAAGGACGACGACCGGCCGGCGGUGGACCCAGUGAUCUGGGCCGACGAGAAGCGGAUGAAGCGGGAGCUGCUGGUGUGGGCCAAGGCCGUCGCGUCCAUGGUGGCCAGCAACAACACCUCCUGCUCCUCUCCGCCGUCGUCGUGGUCGUCCACGAGACACAGGGGAUAGCUAGUAUACGUACGUCCGGUUGGGUUUCUUGAUGGUUCAGCUUGUAUGUUUUUGGCUAGCCUUGAAGAUGGAUCGAUCGACCGGUGACGUGAGCCUUCCCUUGGUGUGUUUUUGUCUGGCUUAUUUUUUUUGUGCUCAAUUGGUGCAUCUAUCUAAGCUAGUUUCGCUUGCUUGAUUUGGGGAAGGUUGCUCUAUUUUUUUUUAUGUUCUAUUUAUCUAGAAUCUAGGGCUAGCUACUUAAUUGUUAUAUAUGUGUACAAUUUCCCUAUAUGUCUCAUUUUCUAUUUUCGCUGUACAAAGAUAUAUGAAUAUAAGGCCAUCAGUUAUAUCUUGGUUAGUUGGGCA